rnacentral:rRNA from 1 species
GAAUGCUGACAUAAGUAACGAUAAAGCGGGUGAAAAGCCCGCUCGCCGGAAGACCAAGGGUUCCUGUCCAACGUUAAUCGGGGCAGGGUGAGUCGACCCCUAAGGCGAGGCCGAAAGGCGUAGUCGAUGGGAAACGGGUUAAUAUUCCCGUACUUGGUGUUACUGCGAAGGGGGGACGGAGAAGGCUAUGUUGGCCGGGCGACGGUUGUCCCGGUUUAAGCGUGUAGGUGUGUGUUCCAGGUAAAUCCGGUUCACUUUAACACUGAGGCGUGACGACGAGGCACUACGGUGCUGAAGCAACAAAUGCCCUGCUUCCAGGAAAAGCCUCUAAGCAUCAGGUAACAUCAAAUCGUACCCCAAACCGACACAGGUGGUCAGGUAGAGAAUACCAAGGCGCUUGAGAGAACUCGGGUGAAGGAACUAGGCAAAAUGGUGCCGUAACUUCGGGAGAAGGCACGCUGACACGUAGGUGAAGUGAUUUACUCAUGGAGCUGAAGUCAGUCGAAGAUACCAGCUGG